AUGAACGCUGGCGGCGUGCCUAAUACAUGCAAGUCGAGCGGACUUGAUGGGAGCUUGUUCCCUGAUAGUCAGCGGCGGACGGGUGAGUAACACGUGGGCAACCUACCUUUAAGACUGGGAUAACUUCGGGAAACCGGAGCUAAUACCGGAUAACAUGUGAGGCCACAUGGUUUUGCAUUAAAAGAUGGCUUCGGCUAUCACUUAUAGAUGGGCCCGCGGCGCAUUAGCUAGUUGGUGAGGUAAUGGCUCACCAAGGCGACGAUGCGUAGCCGACCUGAGAGGGUGAUCGGCCACACUGGGACUGAGACACGGCCCAGACUCCUACGGGAGGCAGCAGUAGGGAAUCUUCCGCAAUGGACGAAAGUCUGACGGAGCAACGCCGCGUGAACGAUGAAGGCUUUCGGGUCGUAAAGUUCUGUUGUUAGGGAAGAACAAGUACCAGAGUAACUGCUGGUACCUUGACGGUACCUAACCAGAAAGCCACGGCUAACUACGUG
rnacentral:rRNA from 1 species